rnacentral:rRNA from 1 species
UCCGAAGGGAGCUAGCGUUGUUCGGAAUCACUGGGCGUAAAGCGCACGUAGGCGGCUGUGUCAGUCAGGGGUGAAAUCCCGGAGCUCAACUUCGGAACUGCCUUUGAUACAGCACAUCUGGAGUCCGGAAGAGGUGGGUGGAAUUCCUAGUGUAGAGGUGAAAUUCGUAGAUAUUCGGAAGAACACCAGUGGCGAAGGCGACUUACUGGACACAUAUUGACGCUGAGGUGCGAAAGCGUGGGGAGCAAACAGG